AAAUAAAACCACUUGAUUUGGAAAUUGCAAAAACCCCGAUUAAAUAAAAUUCGUGAAAGCCAAGAACCGAUUUCGCAGCCGAAUUGCUAUUGCAAAGCAUAAAAAGGAAAACACAACAACAACAAAAAAUACAGCGAUAUUAUAUUUAUACGUUACCAAAAGAAAAAAUAGAACACUGCUGUCGCACAACUCAGUGAAGAGCCACGCGAGGCCAUCGAAGUAGUUAAGCAGCAAUAUCAGCAACGCCUGUCACAAAAAAUACAAUAUAGUAGUGGACCGCCGAUAUACAAAGUAUACUGAAGCAUCUGCUGCUUAUAAGCCAGCCAGUGAUCGAGUAAUAAAUCUUGCUACACGCCAAUACUAAGUAAAAAGGCCAGUGAAACCAAUUACAGCUAGAAAGCAGAAGCACAAGAGACACAGUCUCAGCUCCGAUCGGAAGCUGAGAAGUAGAAUUGUUGGAGUGAGCUCUGCUGGUGGUGAGACUUUGCGAUUUGCGUCUCUCGGCCUGCAACAAAAGACAACAACUGUUUCUUGCUUUUGCAAUCACUUACAGUAUUCGCGAAUCGUUCAGCACACUUUCGCUUUUAGCAGCUACUUCAGGCAUUUGUCAUACACCGCCCCUCCCUCAAGUUAAAAAAGACCCAACAAAAAGUUGUUUGCUACUGUGCAUUUGAUUGAUUGAUAUUCGUGGCAUGAUGUUUCAGAGCGACUUUCAUAGGAAGAAAAAUUUCGCAAAUCCUAAUUUGUUCAAUAAUUCCACAACUGCGGAGAACGCUGCGCCUGUUGCUCAGCCAACACCCGCUAGUGGUCGUCCAGAUGCGAAGGAGGAAAACAAAGAGCAAGAAGAAGUGCGUACGGAACACCUCUUCAAACACCCUCUGCAAAAUACCUGGACUUUGUGGUACUUGGAAAAUGAUCGCUCGAAGUCAUGGGAAGACAUGCAAAACGAAAUCACCAGCUUCGAUACAGUUGAAGACUUUUGGAGUCUCUACAAUCACAUCAAACCUCCAUCUGAUAUCAAAAUAGGCAGCGAUUACUCUUUAUUUAAGAAAGGCAUCAGACCAAUGUGGGAGGAUGCGGGCAACAAACAAGGUGGCCGCUGGGUUAUUACACUGAAUAAGAGUUCUAAGGCAGAUUUGGAUAAUUUGUGGCUUGAUGUUUUGCUUUGCUUAAUUGGUGAAGCGUUUGACCAUUCAGAUGAGAUUUGCGGCGCUGUUGUAAACAUACGUGGCAAGAAUAAUAAAAUUUCUAUUUGGACAGCUAAUGGCAAUAACGAAGAAGCUGCAUUGGAAAUUGGGAAUAAACUGAGAGAAGCCUUGCGUUUGGGCCGUCAAAAUUUGCAAUAUCAGCUACAUAAGGACACAAUGGUUAAACAGGGUUCGAGUGUAAAAUCAAUUUAUACUCUCUAAAAACUACAUACGUUUACUACCCCUCACACAUCCAUAUACAUGAACGCUGAAAACCCAAUCGAAGAACUACAAAGGAAAAUUACACAACUAAAAUCCACACAACCAAGCCAAGCCAACCAUUGCAAGUAGUCAUCGACGUUGCUUAUUCAGAUAUUGAAUCGCAGAGUUGGCGCUUCAAAAACCUAUUUCAUGGUAGCUGAAUAUGCAAGGAGUUAACGGAAUUAAAACCCGCACACCAUAAACAAACACCCAAAUAAUACACCAACACAAAUUAUACAAGAAAACUUUGUUAAAUGAAGAUACAAAUUUGUUUUACUAUAGGAGAGAUGGAAGCAGUGGUAGACACAAAUGCAAAUACAACGCCUAUUCCAGGCAAAUUAGUGACGAUGAAAUCUAAAACGCUAUUAUAAAAUUGAAGGAAAAUAUAUUUAAUAUUGAUGAUAGGGAGAAGCGAUGAAACUGCAAAGCAGGUCUUUCAGCCACAAUUAUAAUCGUAGAUAUGCAUAAAAGCCAAAGGAGCUUGCUUUAAAAACUUGAAGCUUUUCGGGACUGACUGCUUUCAUUGUCACUAUUUGCUGGGUAUGACUUAGUUCGCUUACAAUUGUAGUCGUUAUCCAAUCCUAUGCGUGUUUUAAUGUAAACGAAUAUGGAAUUAAAUCUAAUAAAUUUAAUAAAACAUAA